rnacentral:rRNA from 1 species
AUUGCAGAAUUCCGUGAACCAUCGAAUCUUUGAACGCAUAUUGCGCUCGACUCCUCGGAGAAGAGCAUGUCCGCCUCAGCGUCGGUUUUCACCCUCACCCCUCUUACUUUUCAAGUAAGCCUGCCGUGUUUGCUCAAACCGGCAAUAGGGGUGGAUCUGGCUCUCCCAACCGGUGUCAAUCGGUUGGGUUGGCUGAAGCACAGAGGCUUAAACUGGGACCCGUAUCGGGCUCAACUGGAUAGGUAGCAACACCCUCGGGUGCCUACACGAAGUUGUGUCUGAGGACCUGGUUAGGAGCCAAGCAGGAAACACGCUUAACCGCGUGUAUCAUGGGUUCGACCUGAGCUCGGACAAGGCUACC